rnacentral:rRNA from 1 species
AGUGAACGCUGGCGGUAGGCCUAACGCAUACAAGUCGAACGGCAGCACAGUAAGAGCUUGCUCUUACGGGUGGCGAGUGGCGGACGGGUGAGGAAUACAUCGGAAUCUACUUUUUCGUGGGGGAUAACGUAGGGAAACUUACGCUAAUACCGCAUACGACCUACGGGUGAAAGCAGGGGAUCUUCGGACCUUGCGCGAUUGAAUGAGCCGAUGUCGGAUUAGCUAGUUGGCGGGGUAAAGGCCCACCAAGGCAACGAUCCGUAGCUGGUCUGAGAGGAUGAUCAGCCACACUGGAACUGAGACACGGUCCAGACUCCUACGGGAGGCAGCAGUGGGGAAUAUUGGACAAUGGGCGCAAGCCUGAUCCAGCCAUACCGCGUGGGUGAAGAAGGCCUUCGGGUUGUAAAGCCCUUUUGUUGGGAAAGAAAAGCAGCAGGUUAAUACCCCGCUGUUCUGACGGUACCCAAAGAAUAAGCACCGGCUAACUUCGUG